UACGGAGGGUGCAAGCGUUGUCCGGAUUCAUUGGGUUUAAAGGGUGCGCAGGCGGGCCAUUAAGUCAGGGGUGAAAGACGGUUGCUCAACAAUCGCAGUGCCUUUGAUACUGGUGGUCUUGGGUGACCUUGAGGUAGGCGGAAUGGGUGGUGUAGCGGUGAAAUGCAUAGAUACCACCCAGAACUCCGAUUGCGAAGGCAGCCUACUGGAGGUUCACCGACGCUCGAGGCACGAAAGCGUGGGGAUCAAACAGG
rnacentral:rRNA from 1 species